ACUACAACCAGAACCCUUAUUUUGGUCAACAUCUUCACCUCUCACAAAAGCUUCUUCAAGCUUUCUCUUACUUCACUCAAGCCAAACUCCAAAAACAACCUUAGAUAGCGAACCGAUUGAGAGUAAAGCCAAGUUGGAGUUGAAGGAUUCAUUCUCAACACAAAAGCCUUGCACUAAUAAUGCUGCAGAGUUUGAGGAGCCAGUUCCAGAUGAGGAGCAAACGGGUCUCGAUGAGGUGGAUUAGAAUAGUAGAUGCUGCUAAUGAUGUGUACCUUUGUUGAGAUGGUCUUUCUUAUAUAUUUGUAAUCAAAUCUUGUAAACUGUGGACCAACUUUUAGUUAUGAUGUAAAAUGGUUGUGGAGGGAGUACAUUUUGAGGACAAUGUUUCUAUUUCAAAACUUAUGGUUUUGUAUUGUAAAGACUUUGUGAUGGUAAUAUAAUGUGUAUGUUGGGAUGUGUA